rnacentral:rRNA from 1 species
GACGAACCGUGCGAACGUUAUUCGGAAUCACUGGGCUUAAAGCGCGUGUAGGCGGGCGGGAACGUCGGUCGUUGAAAUCCCCCGGCUCAACCGGGGAAUGGGCGCCGAAACGACUCGCCUCGAGGACGUAGGGGGACCUGGAACUUCCGGUGGAGCGGUGAAAUGCGUUGAGAUCGGAAGGAACGCCCGUGGCGAAAGCGAGGUCCUGGACGUCUUCUGACGCGUGAGACGGCGAAAAGCUAGGGGAGCGAACGGGGAUUAAGAUGACCCCUGAG